CGCUUCGCUUCCCCCAAACCGCAGGCGCACCCCCACCAACCAAAAAACCACAACCUCCCCCUCUCCUCUCCUCUCCUCGCCGCCGGCGCCGCCGCCGCCGCCGUCACCGCCGCCUUCUCCCUCUCCAGCCUCUCCUUCUCUCCGCCACGAGGCUAAACAAGAUCAUUCAUUCCAUUAGUCAUAAAUAAAGACCAUUGUUGAAUCAAAAGAGAAAUAAGGUCACUAUCCAAUUGAAGACCAAAAACAGGGUACUGUGAUUUGUUGUACAGGAUAAAAGUUUGUCGACAUAAUUUCCGGCCAUUGGAGUACUGGCAGGUGUUAUACCCCGAAAGGAGUUUCUUGUAAAUUUUCUGGUGUAUUGUAUUGGCGGCUUUGUUGUUUCUCUGGAAUUGGCAAUAAUGUCAGAAAGUGAGUUGGCAGUAAUAAAGCCAGAGGCGUUGAAGAGUUAUAUUUGGCUUCAGUGCUUUGAUGGUUCCAUACAACAAGUGGAGGAGGAGGUUGCCAUGUUUUGCCCUAUGAUAUGUCGAGAGAUAGUAAAAAAUGGAACAGGAUCAUCAAAAAAUCAUGCAAUUGCUCUCCCAGAAAGAGUUAACCCUACAAGUUUGAGUUUGAUUCUUGACUAUUGUCGGUUUCAUCAAGUCCCAGGGCGCUCAAACAAGGAGCGAAAAUCAUUUGAUGAAAAGUUUGUCAGAAUAGAUACAGAAAGACUAUGUGAGCUGACAUCGGCGGCUGAUAGUCUCCAAUUAAAGCCAUUGGUUGAUCUUACCAGUCGAGCACUUGCUCGAAUAAUUGAAGGAAAGACACCUGAGGAAAUUCGUGAUAUUUUCCAUUUGCCAGAUGACUUAACAGAGGAAGAGAAAUUGGAACCCCUGAAAAAUAUAAAUGAUGAUCCCAGGAUCCGUUUGUUGAAUCGAUUAUAUGCAAAGAAGCGGAAAGAACUACAGGAGCGCCAGAAACUGAAGGAUGUUCAAGUACAAGAAGAGCAAAAAGAUGAGCGGUCACUGGAUGAGAUACUAUGUUUUAUAAAUGGGGAUGGAGGUUCUGGAGGUGGGAAAGCUUCUAAGAAUAAGAAAAAGAACAAGAGAAGAAAGGACCAUUCUAAGAACCCCCCAAAAGCUAAUCCUGAACCUGUAAACAAGGAGGAAGCUACUCGUGGAGUUCCAUUCAAUGCGGGUACUGGUAAUAUUUCUAGAACACCUUGCCAAAGCUCAGAUGUGCAAGAUGAUGUUGAGUACCCCUUUGAAGAUGCUGACCUUGAUGAUGGACUUGAUCCUGCAAUGCAGGAAGAGCUUGACAGAGAAGUGGAGGACUUCGCAAGGAGGUUGAAUUCUGUUUGGCCUGAAAGAAUGCAUUUAGGCCAAGAAAGAAGGAUUGAGUCACAUAUGAUUGGUGGCAAUGGUUCUCUGCAAAGAUUUUCUGGGUUCAAUCACAGGUGAGAAGGUUAAGCGCCAGGAUCAACAAGCAGAAGCACAGGAAAUUUGUGCACAUGCAGCUUGGAAGAGAGCUAGAGACCACCGAACAGGGCCACCUGUUUACUUGAAUGGAGGCCAUCACGUCACGUGCGAGGGAUAGGAGGAUUACCUAACCUAGCUAGUACCUGCCAUCAACGUCAAGGACAGGGCCGAAAAGAUUCUGGCCGCUGGGCCAAGAAGUAGCAUCUUCUCAAGCUCAACAUGGAGAUGGAGAUGGAGUAGGGUAUUUACAAAGAUGAAGCAUUCAAUGGGUGAAGGCAGGCAUGCCAAAGGUACGUACGUUAACGUACUUGUUGAUGGACCAGACCAGAGCAAAGGGAGCAUUCAUGUCUAGCAAUGAGGUGAGAUUUCAGUUGAUGCAACCACCAAUAACUUCCAUCCAGCUUACUUUGCGCGAAAAUUCAUCUCACUCGAGGGAAUGGACUUUGAGUCGCAAUCUUUCGGGGGCCUCUCCAACCAUCCUGAGAGGCGACCCCAAACCCAAAGGCCAAAUCAAUCUCUCGUGUGAGUUGUGACCUCCUUUCCCUUUCCUUUCGUCUCUGGCAGCCGGCAAAGGGUCCCAUAUUCAGGUUCAUCUCGUUAUUGUUCCUUUUUUUUCCCUCUUUCUUUCUUGUGUAGUUCGAACAAGAUGUGGGCGUCCAUCUUCCUCGUCCGGCUCAUCGACGCAAUAGUAGGCGGAGGCAGCAUUUUAGCAAGACUAGGGCUGAACCAUAUAGCUAUCAAUUUUUUUUUUGCAAAUUCUACGUAAAUUUCAAUAUUCCAGUGUUUCUCCCUUGAAAAUUUUUGCCACGUGUGGGGCCCAAGCCCAAGCUACCCCACACGUGGCUCCGCCCCUGGUAGGGUCCGACGUCUACGGCCGCUGAAGGGAGAAUAGCAUAUCUACUCCAAAAAUAGUAUUAAAUUCAUAGUUUUAUGAUAAUUUGAUAGUUUUAUGAAAUUUGCUCUAAGAUAUAUGUA